rnacentral:rRNA from 1 species
CGUCAAAUCAUCAUGCCCCUUAUGACCUGGGCUACACACGUGCUACAAUGGAUGGUACAAAGGGCUGCAAGACUGCGAAGUCAAGCCAAUCCCAUAAAACCAUUCUCAGUUCGGAUUGCAGGCUGCAACUCGCCUGCAUGAAGCCGGAAUCGCUAGUAAUCGCGGAUCAGCAUGCCGCGGUGAAUACGUUCCCGGGCCUU